GCCAGAUUAGGUGGCUUCACGACUGUGGACUCGCAGUCUGCCCUUGAGGAAUUUCUUAUUGAAGAAGAAAAAGAGGGGGGACACGGGGCCCAGACCCCCAGCACCCGGCUUUCGAGCAGGCUCCACGGGUCCGGGUCCGGGUCCGUUUUCCCUUUCGCCAGCUGGGGCCCCGUUCGAACCUCUCCCAACUACAACGCGGAGGCUCCGACGCCCCGGCCCCAGCUUUGUUUUGCCUCCGGGAGCCGCGCGCCACCGGGGACCCGCGGGGAGCCGUUCUCACUCCGAAGCUGUCUGCUCACCUGCAAAUCGGAGACAGCGCCCUUUCACUUACGAUCCUUAUAAAAGACGCUUAUAAAACAUUUUAUUCAGUGUUACAUUAAAAAGACGUUUAUGAAAGCAAUUUAUAAAGCCCUAGUGGGAGACCGAGAUUGGUGUUAAUGUAACUGGAGUAAGGGCUGCUCCGAUUGCUGCAGAAAUUCGACAUUAGCCUUCACCGCACCUGCGGAGCAGCGGGAGCCAGGUGAGCAGCAAUUUCCCCUCAGGGACUUCCUCCGCGUUCUCCGCAUUUUCUGUCGGCGGAACUGAAUCCCAACAGUAGAAAAACGUGGCUCCGCCCAUCACCUUUCCUUUAAAGGACGCGGGGUGAAGCCCCGCCCACUACGGAGAGCGAAGGGGACUCGCCGCAGAUCCGCUGUACUUGCGUCCGCUACAGUAUGUCAAUCGCUUGCCCCAGCACAGCUGUCAUUCUUCUCUACAGAAGAGCUUCUCCUCAUCAACUGGGGAUGAUUACAGUUCUUCCUAAAAAAGGAUGGCUGCUCUUUUUCUAAAGAGGUUAACACUACAAACUGUAAAGUCUGAAAAUAGUUGCAUUAGAUGUUUUGGUAAACACAUCCUGCAAAAGACAGCACCAGCACAGUUGUCCCCUAUUGCUUCUGCCCCAAGACUCUCCUUCCUAAUUCAUGCAAAAGCCUUUAGUACCGCUGAAGACACCCAGAAUGAAG
rnacentral:lncRNA from 1 species